AAGACCUUGCACUUUUGGAGCGGCCGAUGUCUGAUUAGCUAGUUGGUGGGGUAAUGGCCUACCAAAGCUUCGAUCAGUAGCUGGUCUGAGAGGACGGCCAGCCACGCUGGGACUGAGACACGGCCCAGACUCCUACGGGAGGCAGCAGUGGGGAAUUUUGGACAAUGGGCGCAAGCCUGAUCCAGCCAUGCCGCGUGAGUGAAGAAGGCCUUCGGGUUGUAAAGCUCUUUCAGCCGGGAAGAAAAGGUUGCGACUAAUAAUCGCAAUUCAUGACGGUACCGAAAGAAGAAGCACCGGCUAACUACGUGCCAGCAGCCGCGGUAAUACGUAGGGUGCGAGCGUUAAUCGGAAUUACUGGGCGUAAAGGGUGCGCAGGCGGUUUUGUAAGUCAGAUGUGAAAUCCCCGGGCUUAACCUGGGAACU
rnacentral:rRNA from 1 species